rnacentral:rRNA from 1 species
AGGUUAAGUUAUUAAGGGCGCACGGCGAAUGCCUUGGCACUAGGAGCCGAAGAAGGACGGCACUAACACCGAUAUGCUUCGGGGAGCUGUAAGUGAGCUUUGAUCCGGAGAUUUCCGAAUGGGGGAACCCACUACGUUUAAUCGCGUAGUAUCUUGACGUGAAUACAUAGCGUCUUGAAGGCAGACCCAGGGAACUGAAACAUCUAAGUACCUGGAGGAAGAGAAAGAAAAAUCGAUUCCCUGAGUAGCGGCGAGCGAAACGGGAAGAGCCCAAACCAAGAGGCUUGCCUCUUGGGGUUGUAGGACACUCAAUACGGAGUUACAAAAGAGCGAGUUAGAUGAAGCGACUUGGAAAGGUCCGCCAGAGCAGGUAAAAGCCCUGUAGUCGAAAGUUCGUUCCCUCCUGAGUGGAUCCUGAGUACGGCGGAACACGUGAAAUUCCGUCGGAAUCCGGGAGGACCAUCUCCCAAGGCUAAAUACUACCUAGUGACCGAUAGUGAACCAGUACCGUGAGGGAAAGGUGAAAAGCACCCCGGAAGGGGAGUGAAAGAGAUCCUGAAACCGUGUGCCUACAAGUAGUUAGAGCCCGUUAAUGGGUGAUAGCGUGCCUUUUGUAGAAUGAACCGGCGAGUUACGAUUACGUGCGAGGUUAAGCUUUAGAAGGCGGAGCCGCAGCGAAAGCGAGUCUGAAUAGGGCGAAAUAGUACGUGGUCGUAGACCCGAAACCAGGUGAUCUACCCAUGUCCAGGGUGAAGGUAAGGUAACACUUACUG